UUGUUUUGGACCCGUGUCUGCCGGUAGGUCCCCCGUCUUUGUGCGGCCGACUACCGGCGCCGUGUCCCUUCGCCCCUGUGACUUUGUUACCGAUGCCUUUCAAGUGCUUGCGUGCUGGUACCCGAACUACGGGAAGUGGUGCUACGUACAUGUUGCCUCGCGGUGGACGCCUUCGGGUGUGCUGCUGCGGCCAUAUGGCGCUUGCGGCGUUGCCUCGUUGUGCUGGCGCGUUUACGUUCCUGGUGCUAUCAAGGCAACCUCGCUCCCGCUGUUGGUCUCGGAUGUUGCCCACGAUGAAGUCUCAUGGCCCUUCUGGUUGCCUAGACCCGACCCUAAGAAGCUCUCCGAAUUGAGAACAACCGGAACAGGUGUUGCCUCUACCUCUCCACAGUUAGUGGUAGGAUACGCAACAUUUUGUGUCGAUCCUCAAAUAAGUAGGACGAGCUCGGCCCGCUCAAUUGCGACAACUGGCCCGGCUGUUGCCUCUGUCUUGACGCGCAAGUGGAUGGACGGACAACUACCGACGCUGGACGUCAAAGAGGA
rnacentral:misc_RNA from 1 species